GAACGCUGGCGGCGUGCCUAAUACAUGCAAGUCGAGCGAGCAGACGAGGAGCUUGCUCCUCUGACGUUAGCGGCGGACGGGUGAGUAACACGUGGAUAACCUACCUAUAAGACUGGGAUAACUUCGGGAAACCGGAGCUAAUACCGGAUAAUAUAUUGAACCGCAUGGUUCAAUAGUGAAAGACGGUUUUGCUGUCACUUAUAGAUGGAUCCGCGCCGCAUUAGCUAGUUGGUAAGGUAACGGCUUACCAAGGCAACGAUGCGUAGCCGACCUGAGAGGGUGAUCGGCCACACUGGAACUGAGACACGGUCCAGACUCCUACGGGAGGCAGCAGUAGGGAAUCUUCCGCAAUGGGCGAAAGCUUGACGGAGCAACGCCGCGUGAGUGAUGAAGGUCUUCGGAUCGUAAAACUCUGUUAUUAGGGAAGAACAAAUGUGUAAGUAACUAUGCACGUCUUGACGGUACCUAAUCAGAAAGCCACGGCUAACUACGUG
rnacentral:rRNA from 1 species